rnacentral:rRNA from 1 species
ACGCUGGCGGCGUGCCUAAUACAUGCAAGUCGAACGGUCUUUUCUAUGGAAGCUUGCUUCCACUGAGAAGAUAGUGGCGAACGGGUGAGUAACACGUGGGUAACCUGCCCAUAAGAGGGGGAUAACAUCCGGAAACGGGUGCUAAUACCGCAUAGUUUUCUUGAUCGCAUGAUCGGGAAAGGAAAGACGGCCUUUGUGCUGUCGCUUAUGGAUGGACCCGCGGCGUAUUAGUUAGUUGGUGAGGUAACGGCUCACCAAGACGAUGAUACGUAGCCGACCUGAGAGGGUGAUCGGCCACAUUGGGACUGAGACACGGCCCAAACUCCUACGGGAGGCAGCAGUAGGGAAUCUUCCGCAGUGGACGAAAGUCUGACGGAGCAACGCCGCGUGAGUGAAAGAAGGUUUUCGGAUCGUAAAACUCUGUUGUCAGAGAAGAACAAGUUGGAGAGUAACUGCUCCAGCCUUGACGGUAUCUGACCAGAAAGCCACGGCUAACUACGUGCCAGCCGCCGC